CCCUUAGAUGUUCUGGGCUGCACGCGCGCUACACUGACACACUCAGCGAGUUCCUGUGCCGAGAGGUUCGGGUAAUCAUAUGAGCGUGUGUCGUGAUGGGAUAGAAUAUUGUAAUUAUUGCUCUUUAACGAGGAAUUCCUAGUAAGCGCAAGUCAGCAGCUUGCGCUGACUACGUCCCUGCCCUUUGUACACACCGCCCGUCGCUCCUACCGAUUGGGUGAUCCGGUGAAUGAUUUGGACCUUGACGCGCCUCGGUGCGUUUGGGGAAGUCUUGUGAACCUUAUCACCUGGAGGAAGGAGAAGUCGUAACA
rnacentral:rRNA from 1 species